GCCAAAGACCAUAUAGGUUGCAUCAGAGCUCAGAUUUAAGUUUUUGGAGUUGAAACACUAAGCGAAACUCAUGUUUUAAAAAUGACCAGAGCCUAAAACAUCGCCUUACCUCCCACGCUAAGCGCAGGUUUCAAGACAGCGGCCAAGCAGGACCUGUUUCUGCGCACGUCCAGGUCCCGCCCCUGCCCCAUUUCCGGCCCGCCCACUCAGCUGCGCAGGCGCGUUGGCUCCCUGAGGCCUUGGGCCUUGCCAGUAACCCAACCAAGCUGUGGCUUAGGUCUAGAGCAAAGGGAUAGCCUAGAGAUGGCGGCGGCUGAGGCAGUGUCGCCGGAGCCCGCGGCUUCAGAACAGCCAGUGGAGCUCUCGGCCUCCGUUCGCGCGAGCAUCGAGCGGAAGCGGCAACGUGCGCUGAUGCUGCGCCAGGCCCGGCUAGCGGCGCGGCCUUACCCGGCGACGACGGCUGCAGCUACUGGAGGCAUGACAAAUGUAAAAGCAGCUCCAAAAAUAAUUGACACAGGAGGGGGCUUUAUUUUGGAAGAGGAAGAAGAAGAAGAACAUAAAAUUGGAAAUAUUGUUCAUCAACCAGGACCAGUUAUGGAAUUUGAUUAUACAAUAUGUGAAGAAUGUGGGAAAGAAUUUAUGGAUUCCUAUCUUAUGAAUCACUUUGAUUUGGCAACUUGUGAUAACUGCAGAGAUCCCGAUGAGAAACAUAAGCUUAUUACCAAAACAGAAGCAAAGCAAGAAUACCUUCUAAAAGAUUGUGAUUUAGAAAAAAGAGAACCAGCUCUUAAGUUCAUUGUGAAGAAGAACCCUCAUCAUUCACAGUGGGGAGAUAUGAAACUCUACUUAAAGCUGCAGAUUGUGAAGCGGUCUCUUGAAGUUUGGGGUAGUCAGGAAGCACUAGAAGAAGCAAAAGAAGUGAGACAAGAAAACCGAGAAAAAAUGAAACAGAAGAAAUUCAAUAAAAAAGUAAAGGAGGUUGGUGGAUGCUCCCGUCCUCCUGACUAGGCCACAGAGGGCUGAGAGUGGAGUAGACACUAGAGAUUAGACACAAAGAGCUGACUGUGCAGUUUGCUCAGAAGGCUCAGAACAGAGAGGAAUAGAAGCAAGUCUAAAGGUUAUUAGUUGAAAAGAAAUUGGAACCUGGUUCCUCUUGGUCUUCUGAUUUUGAUCCACAAAGAAGCUGACAAAGUUUACUUCUUUAUGGGAAGAACUGCGACGAGCGGUAAGAAGCAGUGUGUGGAAAAGAGAAAUGACUGCUCAUGAGCACGAGUAUGGCCCAGAAGAGAGCUUAGAA